rnacentral:rRNA from 1 species
AGCGAACGCUGGCGGCAGGCCUAACACAUGCAAGUCGAACGAACCUUUCGGGGUUAGUGGCGGACGGGUGAGUAACACGUGGGAACGUGCCUUUAGGUUCGGAAUAACUCAGGGAAACUUGUGCUAAUACCGAAUGUGCCCUUCGGGGGAAAGAUUUAUCGCCUUUAGAGCGGCCCGCGUCUGAUUAGCUAGUUGGUUGAGGUAAUGGCUCACCAAGGCGACGAUCAGUAGCUGGUCUGAGAGGAUGAUCAGCCACAUUGGGACUGAGACACGGCCCAAACUCCUACGGGAGGCAGCAGUGGGGGAUCUUGCGCAAUGGGCGAAAGGCUGACGCAGCCAUGCCGCGUGAAUUAUGAAGGUCUUAGGAUUGUAAAAUUCUUUCACCGGGGACGAUAAUGACGGUACCCGGAGAAGAAGCCCCGGCUAACUUCGUG